ensembl:snoRNA
CUGGCCGUGAUCAAGGCCAGCAGCUUCCUGACACUGUUGGUUUCAAGCAGGAGCCUAAGGAGAUGUCUUUCUAUGGUCAUUUGGCCAUUUCAGAAAUGGGCAGUUCAUUAGAAAGAAACAGCU